AGAGUUUGAUCUUGGCUCAGGACGAACGCUGGCGGCGUGCCUAAUACAUGCAAGUCGAGCGCGGGAAGCAGACUGAUUCUUUCGAGAUGACGUUUGUGGAACGAGCGGCGGAUGGGUGAGUAACACGUGGGCAACCUGCCUGUAAGAUUGGGAUAACUCCGGGAAACCGGGGCUAAUACCGAAUAAUGCUUUUUCUCGCAUGAGAGAAAGAUGAAAGGUGGCUUUUAGCUAUCACUUACAGAUGGGCCGCGGCGCAUUAGCUAGUUGGUGGGGUAAUGGCCUACCAAAGCAACGAUGCGUAGCCGACCUGAGAGGGUGAUCGGCCACACUGGGACUGAGACACGGCCCAGACUCCUACGGGAGGCAGCAGUAGGGAAUCUUCCGCAAUGGACGCAAGUCUGACGGAGCAACGCCGCGUGAGUGAUGAAAGUCUUCGGAUUGUAAAACUCUGUUGUUAGGGAAGAACAAGUACCGUUCAAAUAGGGCGGUACCUUGACGGUACCUAACCAGAAAGCCCCGGCUAACUACGUGCCAGCAGCCGCGGUAAUACGUAGGGGGCAAGCGUUGUCCGGAAUUAUUGGGCGUAAAGGGCGCGCAGGCGGUCUUCUAAGUCUGAUGUGAAAUCCCACGGCUUAACCGUGGAAGGUCAUUGGAAACUGGAGGACUUGAGUGCAGAAGAGGAGAGUGGAAUUCCAUGUGUAGCGGUGAAAUGCGUAGAGAUAUGGAGGAACACCAGUGGCGAAGGCGACUCUCUGGUCUGCAACUGACGCUGAGGCGCGAAAGCGUGGGUAGCGAACAGGAUUAGAUACCUGGUAGUCCACGCCGUAAACAAUGAGUGCUAGGUGUCAGGGGGUUUCCGCCCCUUGGUGCUGGAGUUAACGCAUUAAGCACUCCGCCUGGGGAGUACGGCCGCAAGGCUGAAACUCAAAAGAAUUGACGGGGGCCCGCACAAGCGGUGGAGCAUGUGGUUUAAUUCGAAGCAACGCGAAGAACCUUACCAGGUCUUGACAUCCUCUGAUAGCUCUAGAGAUAGAGUGUUCCCUUCGGGGACAGAGUGACAGGUGGUGCAUGGUUGUCGUCAGCUCGUGUCGUGAGAUGUUGGGUUAAGUCCCGUAACGAGCGCAACCCUUAAUCUUAGUUGCCAGCAUUUAGUUGGGCACUCUAAGGUGACUGCCGGUGACAAACCGGAGGAAGGUGGGGAUGACGUCAAAUCAUCAUGCCCCUUAUGACCUGGGCAACACACGUGCUACAAUGGAUGGUACAGAGGGCAGCGAAGCCGCGAGGUGAAGCAAAUCCCAUAAAACCAUUCUCAGUUCGGAUUGUAGGCUGCAAUUCGCCUACAUGAAGCAGGAAUCGCUAGUAAUCGUGGAUCAGCAUGCCACGGUGAAUACGUUCCCGGGCCUUGUACACACCGCCCGUCACACCACGAGAGUUGACAACACCCGAAGUCGGUAGAGUAACCGUAAGGAGCUAGCCGCCGAAGGUGGGGUCAAUGAUUGGGGUGAAGUCGUAACAAGGUAGCCGUAUCGGAAGGUGCGGCUG
rnacentral:rRNA from 1 species